rnacentral:rRNA from 1 species
UACAGAGGUCCCAAGCGUUGUUCGGAAUUAUUGGGCGUAAAGGGAGUGUAGGCGGUCUUUUAAGUCUUCUGUGAAAUCUACGGGCUUAGCCUGUAAAGUGCAGAGGAAACUGGGAGACUAGAGUGUCGGAGAGGAUAGGGGAAUACCCAGUGUAGAGGUGAAAUUCGUAGAGAUUGGGUGGAACACCAGUGGCGAAGGCGCCUGUCUGGCUGACAACUGACGCUGAGACUCGAAAGCAUGGGGAGCAAACAGG